rnacentral:lncRNA from 1 species
ACAGAAUAGCAAAACGAAAACAGGGGAGAAAGGAAAGAAGAAGAAGAAGAAGGGAAGGAAAGGAAGAAAAUUUGGGAUUUCAAGGUUCAAGGUUUGAUUGGUAAGUCAAUUUAGUUUCUUUUCUUGUAAUUUUGAUAUUUUUGGAAUCCCAGAACAAAAUAUUACUUGAUUUAAGUUGAAAUUUUGAAAGUUAGUAAAUUUUUAGAUGUUGUUCAUGUUGAAUUAAUUGAAGAAUUAGGGAUUAAAUUGAUAAAAUUUCAAGUUAGAAUAGAGAAAUGGAUUAAAUUGUAAAAUAAAUUAUAGGUUUUGAAUUAAUAGGGACUAAAUUGAGAGAAUUUAAAAAUUAAGGAUUUUUGGUGAAAUUAGAGAGUUAAAUUAGUUUAAAGUGGGAAUGGAAUGAAAAUAUGAAAUUAGUUUUGAGAAUAAAAGUUAGUCUCGGUUUAGAGACUAAAUUGAAAUUUAGGCAAAUAUUGAGUAAAAAUUAAAAUAUUUAAUGUGAAAUUGAAUGGUGUUGUUUUGACGAUUUUUAAUUAUUUUAAUUCCGUAGCUAGCGUCGUAUUGGAAUUCUCGACUAAAAAGGGGAAAAAUAUAGUCGACAUCGAAUAGCUCGGAAUUCUUGGUUUGUAUUUCUAUAAUUCGAAUCUAAUUAUUGAUUAAAUGUUAAAGUUACAUAUUUUAUGUAAUUAAAUUGGUUAAUUUAUGAGAUUGCACCACUAAUUUUCCCAUGUUUAUUUUGAAUUUUGUGCAGAAAUACAAUUUGGGGCUAAAAAGAAGAAAAAGGAAACAAUUGGG